UACAGAGGUCUCAAGCGUUGUUCGGAUUUACUGGGCGUAAAGGGCGCGUAGGCGGUCGUGACAAGUCACUUGUGAAAUCUCCGGGCUUAACUCGGAACGGUCAAGUGAUACUGUCGGACUAGAGUACAGAAGGGGCAACUGGAAUUCUCGGUGUAGCGGUGAAAUGCGUAGAUAUCGAGAGGAACACCUGCGGCGAAGGCGGGUUGCUGGGCUGAUACUGACGCUGAGGCGCGAAAGCUAGGGGAGCGAACGGG
rnacentral:rRNA from 1 species